rnacentral:ncRNA from 1 species
CGAAGUAGGAUGUCGCGCGUUAAGUGCCGCAGGAUGGGAAGUUGCCUGCGGACGAAGAGCAAAGCUCGCGGUGCCUCAUCCGCAUCCGUUG